AAUUCUGCAUCAACAAACUUUUGUUACAUUUUUAAAUUAACAUUAUUUUUAUGUUAAUUCUUACAUUCUAUAAGCAGACUGCCCAGUAUAAGUACUAUCAUUUUUAUAUAUUCCCUUCAUUGCUUUUAUAAGUGCAUGGUUUUCAUACGGUUAUAAUUACCAUACAGAUAAAACAUACCAUCUUUUUCCCAGAUUACACUGAAUGAUAUUGGCAAGUAUUUUUUCACAUUAGAAGCAUAAUAUUCUACUAAUCUCCUAAAGCAUUUUCUCAGUUGGGGCAUGUAUAUUACCUUAAAAUGUUUAACUUUGAACUUCUUUAUUAUUUUUACUUAUAUUUAUUAUUUUAAUUUUAUAUUAUUAUUUUAGUAUUUAUAUUUAUUAUUUUUUGGAUACUUUCCACUUCUAGCAAUGUGAUUCUAGGACUGCUGGAUCCUGGGAAAAGUGUAUGAACAUCUUCUGGAUCUAUUGCUCUGAUACUUCUAUUGAGGAUUGCAACUGUCUUGAGGAUAGACUGGGAGUCUACAUAAUUAAAAUAAGGUAGGUUACUAAUUUGAAAAUUCAAGAUUUUUCAAAAUUAUAGCUUUUACUCAAAAGCAGAAGCUGAGGCUAAAUAUAUCCUAGUGCUUUCAGACUUGUAUUUUCACUUGACUUCUCCCUA
rnacentral:lncRNA from 12 species